AGUGAACGCUGGCGGUAGGCCUAACACAUGCAAGUCGAACGGCAGCACAGUAAGAGCUUGCUCUUACGGGUGGCGAGUGGCGGACGGGUGAGGAAUACAUCGGAAUCUACUUUUUCGUGGGGGAUAACGUAGGGAAACUUACGCUAAUACCGCAUACGACCUACGGGUGAAAGCAGGGGAUCUUCGGACCUUGCGCGAUUGAAUGAGCCGAUGUCGGAUUAGCUAGUUGGCGGGGUAAAGGCCCACCAAGGCGACGAUCCGUAGCUGGUCUGAGAGGAUGAUCAGCCACACUGGAACUGAGACACGGUCCAGACUCCUACGGGAGGCACCAGUGGGGAAUAUUGGACAAUGGGCGCAAGCCUGAUCCAGCCAUACCGCGUGGGUGAAGAAGGCCUUCGGGUUUUAAAGCCCUUUUGUUGGGAAAGAAAAGCAGCAGGUUAAUACCCCGCUGUUCUGACGGUACCCAAAGAAUAAGCACCGGCUAACUUCGUG
rnacentral:rRNA from 1 species